rnacentral:rRNA from 1 species
GACGAACGCUGGCGGCGUGCCUAAUACAUGCAAGUUGAGCGCUGAAGGUUGGUACUUGUCCCAACUGGAUGAGCAGCGAACGGGUGAGUAACGCGUGGGGAAUCUGCCUUUGAGCGGGGGACAACAUUUGGAAACGAAUGCUAAUACCGCAUAAAAACUUUAAACACAAGUUUUAAGUUUGAAAGAUGCAAUUGCAUCACUCAAAGAUGAUCCCGCGUUGUAUUAGCUAGUUGGUGAGGUAAAGGCUCACCAAGGCGAUGAUACAUAGCCGACCUGAGAGGGUGAUCGGCCACAUUGGGACUGAGACACGGCCCAAACUCCUACGGGAGGCAGCAGUAGGGAAUCUUCGGCAAUGGACGAAAGUCUGACCGAGCAACGCCGCGGGAGUGAAGAAGGUUUUCGGAUCGUAAAACUCUGUUGGUAGAGAAGAACGUUAGUGAGAGUGGAAAGCUCAUCAAGUGACGGUAACUACCCAGAAAGGGACGGCUAACUACGUG